rnacentral:rRNA from 1 species
AUGCACAUUUGUUAUGCUCAAGAUUCUAACACUGUCACCGAUCUCAAGUGUAUUGAACUUCCACUAGAGAUUGUGCAAGUGUUGUUAGAUUAUGAGGAUGUAUUCCUGGAGCCGACCGGAUUGCCACCAUGGCGCGAAUGUGAUCACACCAUCCCAUUGAUGCAAGGCGCCCAGCCGGUCAACAUACGAGCGUACAGACACAAGCCAGAAUUGAAGACAGAAGUGGAAAGGCAAGUCGCGGAAAUGUUGAAGGCUGGUAUCAUUCAAAAGAGCAGCAGCCCAUUCUCCUCUCCUAUUAUUUUGGUCAAGAAGAAGGACGGUACCUGGUGCAUGUGCGUUGAUUAUCGGAGGCUGAAUGCGAUGACUAUCAUCAGCAAGUACCCCGUGCCUGUCAUUGAGGAUAUUUUGGAUGAGCUGGCAGGGGCGUGUUGGUUCUCCAAGCUUGAUUUGCGCUCCAGCUAUCACCAAAUCAGAUUAGCAGAAGGGGAGGAAUAUAAAACUGUAUUUCAAACACACUCGGGCCGUUUCGAAUUCAAAGUGGUGCCAUUUGGUCUCGGGGGAGCACCUCCAACAUUUCUGGGGGCUAUGAAUGUGACACUGCAUCCAGUCCUACGGGUCCGCGCAAUGGUUUUUUCGAUGAUAUCCUAG